GAUGAAGAACGUAGCGAAAUGCGAUAAGUAAUGUGAAUUGCAGAAUUCAGUGAAUCAUCGAAUCUUUGAACGCACAUUGCGCCCCUUGGUAUUCCGAGGGGCAUGCCUGUUCGAGCGUCAUUAUAACCCCUCAAGCUCAGCUUGGUGUUGGGGCCUGCUGCACUGGCAGCCCUUAAAAUCAGUGGCGGCGCCAUCUGGCUCUAAGCGUAGUAAUUCUUCUCGCUAUGGAGUCCUGGUGGAUGCUUGCCAUCAACCCCCAAUUUUUCUAUGGUUGACCUCGGAUCAGGUAGGGAUACCCGCUGAACUUAAGCAUAUCAAAAGGGAGGA
rnacentral:misc_RNA from 1 species